UACGGAGGAUCCGAGCGUUAUCCGGAUUUAUUGGGUUUAAAGGGUGCGUAGGCGGCCUAUUAAGUCAGGGGUGAAAGACGGUAGCUUAACUAUCGCAGUGCCUUUGAUACUGAUAGGCUUGAAUGUACUUGAGGUAGGCGGAAUGUGACAAGUAGCGGUGAAAUGCAUAGAUAUGUCACAGAACACCAAUUGCGAAGGCAGCUUACUAUGGUUUUAUUGACACUGAGGCACGAAAGCGUGGGGAUCAAACAGG
rnacentral:rRNA from 1 species